rnacentral:rRNA from 1 species
UACGAAGGGUCCUAGCGUUGUUCGGAGUUAUUGGGCGUAAAGCGGGUGUAGGCGGUUUUGUAAGUCAGGAGUGAAAGCCCUCGGCUCAACCGAGGAAGUGCUUUUGAAACUGCAGAACUUGAGUACUGGAGAGGAUAGUAGAAUACCUGGUGUAGUGGUGAAAUACGUAGAUAUCAGGUGGAAUACCGGUGGCGAAGGCGGCUAUCUGGCCAGAUAAUGACGCUGAGACCCGAAAGCGUGGGGAGCAAACAGG